AUCUGUGGGGGAGGAAGGCGUUGUUCUCUGAGGUCCUGUUUUGGCCCAGGUUUUCGAAGCCCUAGCUUUGUUGAUCUCUGAAAACUAAGGACUAACGCCCCCACCUUCUCCUCCCAAUGCUCCAGGUUCCCUUUUUGAGGCUCUCCAUGGCUCUCCCCUAGUGUGUGGGAAACCACGGAGGAAGUAGUCAGUAUCUUUUCUCUUUGAAAUUCCUUUUCACCUUGGCACAUGCAUCCAUCCUGGCCCAGACCCACCCUUCAGAAGCCAUUAUUCCUUAACCCACUCUAAACGGGCACAGGUGACAAAGCCAUCAAACUAUACAAUCAAAACCGAAGUACAGUUCGGGAUUUCCCAUUGGUUUCCUGGCCUGGGUAGAAAGAGGAAUAGGGAGAGGAGAUGAGGGGAGGGGAGGCCGCGAUGCACUCAGGAAAGUCUUGGUGGCCACUUUGAGGACACUGGCCUAGCAUCAGUCUGGAGGUGAGAGCGGGACCGAGCGGGUACUAACGUGGCAAUGGCGGUGUUGAGCCCAGAUGUCAGGUUCCGAGUAUAAACGUGCGCGGGUGAACACUCUCCCCCGUACCCUCGAUCCAGCUCGGUACAGCAUCGUCUCCAGAAAGGCACAAAUCGGGCCUUGUGCUUAAAUGGAAUAUCUGCUUCUAUACAGUGACCCCGACGCACAUCAAAGAUCCUGCUUUGACUCCUUAGACUCCAAGAUCAGAACAUGUCUGCCCUAAUUUCAGACCUACUCCCAAGAACUCACUUUUAGGAGCUAUGCUGGGAACAUCCCCUCUUCUAUGUUUUCAAAACAGAAAGAAAGGAAAGACUUAUCUGGGAAGGAAACUUGAACUGAACAUUUAACAUCUAUUAAUUUUGGCGUUGAUGACUCUAUUCUUGUAUAAAUAAAUCUAUUAAUCACAAAAAUAAUAAAGGAGGUGUUCACGUGG
rnacentral:lncRNA from 1 species